AGAGUUUGAUCAUGGCUCAGAGUGAACGUUGGCGGCGUGCCUAACACAUGCAAGUCGAACGCGUCUUGGGGGCAACUCCAAGAUGAGUGGCGAACGGGUGAGUAACACGUGGGUAAUCUCCCCCCGAGUGAGGAAUAAGCCCGCGAAAGCGGGUCUAAUACCGCAUAACACCCCGGGGCAUAAGCUUCCGGGGUCAAAGCCGUAAGGCGCUUGGAGAUGAGCCUGCGUCCUAUUAGCUAGUUGGUAGGGUAACGGCCUACCAAGGUUAUGAUGGGUAGCCGGCCUGAGAGGGUGUUCGGCCACACUGGGACUGAGACACGGCCCAGACUCCUACGGGAGGCAGCAGUGAGGAAUCUUGCGCAAUGGGCGAAAGCCUGACGCAGCGACGCCGCGUGGAGGAAGACGGCCUUCGGGUUGUAAACUCCUGUCAGAGGUGAAGAAUCCCCGCAAGGGGUUGACGGUAACCUCAAAGGAAGCCCCGGCUAACUACGUGCCAGCAGCCGCGGUAAUACGUAGGGGGCAAACGUUACUCGGAAUUACUGGGCGUAAAGGGUGUGUAGGUGGUUGAGUAAGUCAUGGAUGAAAUUCCGGAGCUCAACUUCGGAAUUGUCUUUGAGACUGCUCGGCUUGAGGAUAGUGGAGGAGAAUGGAAUUCCCGGUGGAGCGGUGAAAUGCGUAGAUAUCGGGAGGAACACCCGAGGCGUAAGCGAUUCUCUAAGCUAUUCCUGACGCUGAAACACGAAAGCUAGGGGAGCGAACGGGAUUAGAUACCC
rnacentral:rRNA from 1 species